rnacentral:misc_RNA from 1 species
CUAAUGGGGAAAAAAAGUUAUAUAAGUACCCUUUUGAAUAAUGAGAGCUACGACUGCACAUACCAAGACCAGCAGAGAUGCUUGUGGAACUAUGUCCGGCGCCAAAGGCAUCAUAAACACUCUCAUCUCUUUUAGGAAAUCCUGCAAGCCCUGAAGUUUUCCUUAUGGUGUGCAUCCUAGACCUUCUUCCUGUUAAAAUU